AUGAUUUUGUACAUGAGAUUAUUAAUAUUAUUUAGGUUUUCAAUUGUUCUUACUGCUACAGAACCUUGAAUCCAUUUACUAGUACAUACGGCAUGCAUCAAACAAUGGAAAAGGUAAUGAAUUAAAUUGUAGGACUAUCUUUGCUUCAACUAGAUAGUUUAUUUUAUUAUUUCUUACUGACAAACUACUCUAUAUUGAGCUAAUGAAAAGGCACUCUGUAAUCUAACUAUUCAUUUCCCUAUACAAGAGAAAACAACUGAAUAUUAAAUUGAUUUGAAAUGUCUGAUAAGAUAUAGAUUACCAGUUAAAUGUCGAUCUUGGUAUUUUUGACAUGUACAACAUUUUUAACGUGUUGAAUCUUUUUCAAUACUGAAUCAUGUGAUGCUGGUUCCCACAGAAGGAUAUUAUAUUGUAACUUGCCUUCUGUUAGAGCUAUGGAGGUUGUGCUUGAUGGUGACUCUAAUCCAAACAGCACAGCGAAACUUGUUUUUGAUGGUUGACUGGAAAAGAAGCUUGUAGAUACUUGUUUGUGAAGGGAAGGUAAAUGGCCAUUACGAUUAUGUGUUUGAUGAUUUAGAUUGUGGAUGGUGUAGGGUUAUAAGCUUUUGUUGACAAUUUAAGUUGGAUAAGCUAAGGAACAUUGACAUUGAUGUUAGGACUGAAAUUGAUCAAUCAUUCUGGUGAAUUCAAGAGCAGAGAAGGAAUUAGUAAGCCUACAAUGAUACUAAGAUUGUUAUAUGGUUCCUUUUCUGCACUGUUAGAAGUUUCGGGUUCAAAUAUCUGCUUUCUGUAAAAUUAUUAUUUUUUGCCUCAAGUUGAUUAAAAUAUCCAUUUUGUCAAGGUGAUGCUGAUUGUAUCGUUUCUUUCUACAUAUAUAUGAUAUCUUAACACUGGAGACUGAUAUUUUUCAUGUUAUUUCUCUUUGAUUAAUUAGCUUAUAGAAAGCAUUAUCCACCAUUCUUGGGACAAUGAAAUAUGACAAUUAGGAAAGGAUUGCGAAGGAUGUUGUUCACCUAAACGGCUGGCAUUUGUGAAACACUUGCUACAUUUAUAGUAGCAGUCGCAUGACUCAUGUACUUCUUUGUUGCAGAUAGUAGCACUCCUGUACUUUUCUUCAAGAUAUUAUAUGAGUUCUUGGAAGAAGGGUUUAGAGAAAUGUGAGAGCAACUAGGAAUCCUUGCACUUGAGGAAAACAGUAACACUAAAGCUAAAACUAUGACCGGCGUUGACUGUUUUGGAACUUUUAAGGAAAAGUUUAUGUCAUUGAAUGUUGAAGUAACUGUGUAUUUGAUUCA